AUCUGACUGACUGCAAGCUGUGUGCUGUAGGCCUACUCUGCCAUCAUCGUAUUCAAGGUGGUGUGAGGACUGCUGCCCUCCUAAUAGUUAUUGUCCAAUUAGCUUUGUUGCAGUACCACGCUUCAUCCUAAUAGGAAUGGACUUCAGAGCGGCACUCAUCCUCCUGCCAAUCAUUUUUAAAGAGAGUGUGAAUCAUCACAUCAUAAUGGGAGAGGAUGAACCCAACACACCGUAUCCAGUUGUCCAGGUGACCCAAGAAGACUGGAAGUCUACGUUUGAGGGACAAAGCCACUGCUCACUUAUUGUAGACUGGGUCAGGGUGUGUGAGGCCAUGA